UGGCGGACGGGUGAGUAACGCGUGGAAAACCUGCCGUAUACUGGGGGAUAACACUUAGAAAUAGGUGCUAAUACCGCAUAAGCGCACAGCUUCGCAUGAAGCGGUGUGAAAAACUCUGGUGGUAUACAUGGUUCCGCGUCUGAUUAGCUAGUUGGUGGGGUAAUGGCCUACCAAGGCAACGAUCAGUAGCCGGCCUGAGAGGGUGAACGGCCACAUUGGGACUGAGACACGGCCCAAACUCCUACGGAAGGCAGCAG
rnacentral:rRNA from 1 species